GGUGGGGGUGUUUCGUGCUGGAGAUCCCUGUCUACCUGAGGCCUUUUGAAGAAAAGGGAGCAUUGGACUCGCCGUGCCGGCUCAGAUGAAAGGUUGAACAAGCCUGGACUCCUUUCUCUGGCAGUGGCCAGGAAACAGAAGAACAAAACAAGCAGCAAGUAAUGCUUUCCCUGCUCCAUCCUCCUCACAGAGCGAGUCUUCUCAGUUCUGGCACCUGUCCUGAUGAGAUAAGGAGGAAUAACUUCAUUCGGUGGCAAGGAGAGGAGGGAGGUGCUCCCUUCAAAGUUCCUCUAAGGCAUGGGCUCUGGACAACACCGGGUUAGGUCUUCACAAAAUGAUGAAAGCAGAGGAGUAACUCCUGAGGAAGGAAAGAAAUAGCUUUUUUAAAGCUUUUAAUUUUAAAAGCAACACAAUCUGGAAGCAUCAGCGUUUGUUCCAUCUUGCCAAACCUCAAGCCUGAGUUCCCAGGAAUGUUCCUCCAGAGGAAGGUGUCCAUAGGCAGGUGUUUCUUGCCAGCUGGUCUGGACCUUGGGCAGUUCCUGUGCUGUGAGUAAGCUUCCUUGGUACAGACAUGCCACAGCACCGCUAAGCUUGCGAGCACCACUUUCUGCUUCAAAGAAGUUACAAGUACCAAAUGCACCAGAGGACCCUGCCAGUUCCAUCAGCCAAAUCAGCUGCAGCCUAAGGAGGUCAGAAACAACUCAGACACACCUGGGAAUACUCAUGAAGCACUCGAGCCUAUUCACAGCUGCUCAAGGUGUCCAAUGGUCUGCAGACAUUUGAACGAUGUGUGUGAGCCAGACAGGUGUGGCUUCAGCAGCUUAGAUGCCAACAGAAACCCAGCAGGCCAGAAUCCCUCGCCCACUUCUUCAUUUGCUUGGGCCAGGAUCACCCCAGAGGCAGUCCUGUGUACGAAGGAGACCACUGUGGGUGCCACAGCUCCAAUGCUCCCUGUCCCAGGCACCCUGCCUACCCUGGGAACAGCAUCUUCCAGCCCGUGUGCACAGGGAUGGGAUGCUUGUAGAAUGUUUGUUUCAUAGGACAGGGUAUAUCUGUUUUUUAGAACUGGAUGCUUCUCAAGUGCUGUUAAGAGACUGCAACUUGUGGUGCUCGGAAUCGUUGGCCAUUGUUAUGUAGGCACACAUUUCUCCUUGGUUGGUUUGAC
ensembl:lncRNA